GGUUAAGCGACUAAGCGUACACGGUGGAUGCCCUGGCAGUCAGAGGCGAUGAAGGACGUGCUAAUCUGCGAUAAGCGUCGGUAAGGUGAUAUGAACCGUUAUAACCGGCGAUUUCCGAAUGGGGAAACCCAGUGUGAUUCGUCACACUAUCAUUAACUGAAUCCAUAGGUUAAUGAGGCGAACCGGGGGAACUGAAACAUCUAAGUACCCCGAGGAAAAGAAAUCAACCGAGAUUCCCCCAGUAGCGGCGAGCGAACGGGGAGCAGCCCAGAGCCUGAAUCAGUGUGUGUGUUAGUGGAAGCGUCUGGAAAGGCGCGCGAUACAGGGUGACAGCCCCGUACACAAAAAUGCACAUACUGUGAGCUCGAUGAGUAGGGCGGGACACGUGGUAUCCUGUCUGAAUAUGGGGGGACCAUCCUCCAAGGCUAAAUACUCCUGACUGACCGAUAGUGAACCAGUACCGUGAGGGAAAGGCGAAAAGAACCCCGGCGAGGGGAGUGAAAAAGAACCUGAAACCGUGUACGUACAAGCAGUGGGAGCACGCUUAGGCGUGUGACUGCGUACCUUUUGUAUAAUGGGUCAGCGACUUAUAUUCUGUAGCAAGGUUAACCGAAUAGGGGAGCCGAAGGGAAACCGAGUCUUAACUGGGCGUUAAGUUGCAGGGUAUAGACCCGAAACCCGGUGAUCUAGCCAUGGGCAGGUUGAAGGUUGGGUAACACUAACUGGAGGACCGAACCGACUAAUGUUGAAAAAUUAGCGGAUGACUUGUGGCUGGGGGUGAAAGGCCAAUCAAACCGGGAGAUAGCUGGUUCUCCCCGAAAGCUAUUUAGGUAGCGCCUCGUGAAUUCAUCUCCGGGGGUAGAGCACUGUUUCGGCAAGGGGGUCAUCCCGACUUACCAACCCGAUGCAAACUGCGAAUACCGGAGAAUGUUAUCACGGGAGACACACGGCGGGUGCUAACGUCCGUCGUGAAGAGGGAAACAACCCAGACCGCCAGCUAAGGUCCCAAAGUCAUGGUUAAGUGGGAAACGAUGUGGGAAGGCCCAGACAGCCAGGAUGUUGGCUUAGAAGCAGCCAUCAUUUAAAGAAAGCGUAAUAGCUCACUGGUCGAGUCGGCCUGCGCGGAAGAUGUAACGGGGCUAAACCAUGCACCGAAGCUGCGGCAGCGACGCUUAUGCGUUGUUGGGUAGGGGAGCGUUCUGUAAGCCUGUGAAGGUGUGCUGUGAGGCAUGCUGGAGGUAUCAGAAGUGCGAAUGCUGACAUAAGUAACGAUAAAGCGGGUGAAAAGCCCGCUCGCCGGAAGACCAAGGGUUCCUGUCCAACGUUAAUCGGGGCAGGGUGAGUCGACCCCUAAGGCGAGGCCGAAAGGCGUAGUCGAUGGGAAACAGGUUAAUAUUCCUGUACUUGGUGUUACUGCGAAGGGGGGACGGAGAAGGCUAUGUUGGCCGGGCGACGGUUGUCCCGGUUUAAGCGUGUAGGCUGGUUUUCCAGGCAAAUCCGGAAAAUCAAGGCUGAGGCGUGAUGACGAGGCACUACGGUGCUGAAGCAACAAAUGCCCUGCUUCCAGGAAAAGCCUCUAAGCAUCAGGUAACAUCAAAUCGUACCCCAAACCGACACAGGUGGUCAGGUAGAGAAUACCAAGGCGCUUGAGAGAACUCGGGUGAAGGAACUAGGCAAAAUGGUGCCGUAACUUCGGGAGAAGGCACGCUGAUAUGUAGGUGAAGUCCCUCGCGGAUGGAGCUGAAAUCAGUCGAAGAUACCAGCUGGCUGCAACUGUUUAUUAAAAACACAGCACUGUGCAAACACGAAAGUGGACGUAUACGGUGUGACGCCUGCCCGGUGCCGGAAGGUUAAUUGAUGGGGUCAGCGCAAGCGAAGCUCUUGAUCGAAGCCCCGGUAAACGGCGGCCGUAACUAUAACGGUCCUAAGGUAGCGAAAUUCCUUGUCGGGUAAGUUCCGACCUGCACGAAUGGCGUAAUGAUGGCCAGGCUGUCUCCACCCGAGACUCAGUGAAAUUGAACUCGCUGUGAAGAUGCAGUGUACCCGCGGCAAGACGGAAAGACCCCGUGAACCUUUACUAUAGCUUGACACUGAACAUUGAGCCUUGAUGUGUAGGAUAGGUGGGAGGCUUAGAAGUGUGGACGCCAGUCUGCAUGGAGCCGACCUUGAAAUACCACCCUUUAAUGUUUGAUGUUCUAACGUUGACCCGUAAUCCGGGUUGCGGACAGUGUCUGGUGGGUAGUUUGACUGGGGCGGUCUCCUCCUAAAGAGUAACGGAGGAGCACGAAGGUUGGCUAAUCCUGGUCGGACAUCAGGAGGUUAGUGCAAUGGCAUAAGCCAGCUUGACUGCGAGCGUGACGGCGCGAGCAGGUGCGAAAGCAGGUCAUAGUGAUCCGGUGGUUCUGAAUGGAAGGGCCAUCGCUCAACGGAUAAAAGGUACUCCGGGGAUAACAGGCUGAUACCGCCCAAGAGUUCAUAUCGACGGCGGUGUUUGGCACCUCGAUGUCGGCUCAUCACAUCCUGGGGCUGAAGUAGGUCCCAAGGGUAUGGCUGUUCGCCAUUUAAAGUGGUACGCGAGCUGGGUUUAGAACGUCGUGAGACAGUUCGGUCCCUAUCUGCCGUGGGCGCUGGAGAACUGAGGGGGGCUGCUCCUAGUACGAGAGGACCGGAGUGGACGCAUCACUGGUGUUCGGGUUGUCAUGCCAAUGGCACUGCCCGGUAGCUAAAUGCGGAAGAGAUAAGUGCUGAAAGCAUCUAAGCACGAAACUUGCCCCGAGAUGAGUUCUCCCUGACUCCUUGAGAGUCCUGAAGGAACGUUGAAGACGACGACGUUGAUAGGCCGGGUGUGUAAGCGCAGCGAUGCGUUGAGCUAACCGGUACUAAUGAACCGUGAGGCUUAACCUU
rnacentral:rRNA from 1 species